UACGGAGGGUGCAAACGUUGCUCGGAAUCAUUGGGCGUAAAGCGCACGUAGGCGGCCUGUUAAGUCGGAUGUGAAAGCCCCGGGCUCAACCCGGGAAGUGCAUUCGAAACUGGCGGGCUUGAAUAUGGAAGAGGGUCGCGGAAUUCCCGGUGUAGAGGUGAAAUUCGUAGAUAUCGGGAGGAACACCAGUGGCGAAGGCGGCGACCUGGGCCAAUAUUGGAC
rnacentral:rRNA from 1 species